rnacentral:rRNA from 1 species
CCUACGGGAGGCAGCAGUGGGGAAUAUUGGACAAUGGGGGGAACCCUGAUCCAGCGACGCCGCGUGAGUGAAGAAGUAUUUCGGUAUGUAAAGCUCUAUCAGCAGGGAAGAAAGAAAUGACGGUACCUGACUAAGAAGCCCCGGCUAACUACGUGCCAGCAGCCGCGGUAAUACGGAGGGGGCAAGCGUUAUCCGGAUUUACUGGGUGUAAAGGGAGCGUAGACGGCGAUGCAAGUCUGAAGUGAAAGGCGGGGGCCCAACCCCCGGACUGCUUUGGAAACGGUAUGGCUGGAGUGCAGGAGAGGUAAGUGGAAUUCCUAGUGUAGCGGUGAAAUGCGUAGAUAUUAGGAGGAACACCAGUGGCGAAGGCGGCUUACUGGACUGUAACUGACGUUGAGGCUCGAAAGCGUGGGGAGCAAACAGGAUUAGAUACCCUUGUAGUC